CAAGCCCAGCUGCACUGGGGUGAGCUUUUAAGUUUGGCAGGUUGAGGCUAUUUUACUCUUAUUCUGAGGGUGACUGUUCCUUGCUGCAGGUUCAUCUCUGCUGCAAGGGAUGGUCGAGGAGCCAGUGGGGUGGGUGCCUGCUAUUUCUUCAGAAGUGAAAUCAUCAUCAUCAUCCAAAUCAAAGCGUUUCACUUAUGAACUAUGGAAGUAGAAGGAUCCAGAUAUGUUUUUCCAAAGCCACGGGAUCUCUAGAAGUUUGUUUUCCUUGAAAGUCAGAUUUGUAUCAUUUGAACGAGGACUUCAAAACUGCAAAUACAGUCAAUACCAAGAACAGACAGGGCACAGCCGGAGCGCACACUGCAUUUGGACAUGGACUGUGUUAUCCUACCUGGAUCGUGGACUAUUGUCAAUGCCAAAGCUGGGCUGGAUUAUACAGCGGCUGGUGCAAGACCAAACCUGAGCAAAAUGCAUGUGUUAGGUUUCUCUUGUUCCAUCCCUACGGAUCCACUCCCAUUCACAUUGAACCCUUCCACAUCUCUUCUUCAAUUUGAGGUGACCUUAAAGUGAG